CGCGUAGGCGGGCCAUCAAGUCCGGGGUGAAAUCCUCCGGCUUAACCGGAGAAUUGCCUUGGAUACUGGUGGUCUUGAGGGAAGUAGGGGUCUGCGGAACUUCCGGUGGAGCGGUGAAAUGUGUUGAUAUCGGAAGGAACGCCGGUGGCGAAAGCGGCGGACUGGGCUUCUCCUGACGCUGAGGCGCGAAAGCUAGGGGAGCAAACG
rnacentral:rRNA from 1 species